rnacentral:rRNA from 1 species
UGGGGAAUUUGGACAAUGGGCGAAGCCUGAUCCAGCAAUGCCGCGUGUGUGAAGAAGGCCUUCGGGUUGUAAAGCACUUUUGUCCGGAAAGAAAUCCUUGGCUCUAAUACAGUCGGGGGAUGACGGUACCGGAAGAAUAAGCACCGGCUAACUACGUGCCAGCAGCCGCGGUAAUACGUAGGGUGCAAGCGUUAAUCGGAAUUACUGGGCGUAAAGCGUGCGCAGGCGGUUUGCUAAGACCGAUGUGAAAUCCCCGGGCUCAACCUGGGAACUGCAUUGGUGACUGGCAGGCUAGAGUAUGGCAGAGGGGGGUAGAAUUCCACGUGUAGCAGUGAAAUGCGUAGAGAUGUGGAGGAAUACCGAUGGCGAAGGCAGCCCCCUGGGCCAAUACUGACGCUCAUGCACGAAAAGCGUGGGGAGCAAACAGGAUUAGAUACCCCUGGUAGUCCACGCCCUAAAACGAUGUCAACUAGUUGUUGGGGAUUCAUUUCCUUAGUAACGUAGCUAACGCGUGAAGUUGACCGCCUGGGGAGUACGGUCGCAAGAUUAAAACUCAAAUGAAUUGACGGGG